AAUGCCGCGUGGGUGAAGAAGGCCUGCGGGUUGUAAAGCCCUUUCAGCUGGGAGGAAAGCGUCUGGUUAAUACCCAGGCGUAUUGACGUUACCAGCAGAAGAAGCACCGGCUAACUCCGUGCCAGCCACUUCGGUGACUGAGCGGGCUGGCAAGGCGCAUA
rnacentral:rRNA from 1 species